rnacentral:ncRNA from 2 species
UUGAAUAACAUAUUUAAAAGUGCCUGAUGCCUAAUGGGCUAGGGAUAAUAGGGAAGUCGGUGCAAAUCCGACGCAGCCCCCGCUACUGUGAAGCUGAUGAAAUUGUCAAAACCACUGGCUAUAACGCCGGGAAGGGACAAGAGUAAGAGGAAGCUAAGCCAGGAGACCUGCUUUUAAAUUUGAUCGAUA